UAGUACGGGCACUUUGGGAGACAGCCACCCCGAGGCGGAAGUCGGGAUGAAUGAGGGCGGAAGUGGCUUCGUAGAAGGGCAGUAUUUCAAUGGUCAGAGGUGAACGUGAUGUUAACCGGAACUAGAGGGGCACCUGGCACAAUUCCUGGCAUAUAACAGGUGCUUAAUAAAUGCACGUUGAUGGACUGAGCUGUACUUUGAAGCCCUUCAAAUGUUCUCUGUGGUUGGUCUGAUAGAAGGUAAGGAUUGAGUGCUUAAUGCUUAAUAAAUGCUUAUUGAUUGAGCUAUGCAUUAAAAGAAGCCAAAGGUUUUAUGAGGCUGAGUUGGGGAGUGAUCAAAUUCCAGAUUUGGUGACAGUAAAAAAGCAAGAAAUGGAAUUUAGGGGAAACGCCAAACAGUUUUAAUGGAAUGGAGAGUUGGAGAAGGGAAUAACAUGAAAUAAGACUGAAAAGGUAGGUGGGAACCAUAUGUGGAAGACUUUAGGUGUCAGAAAGAAGAUUUUAUGUUUUAUCCUGAAGGCGACAGAAAUUAAUUAUUUCUGAGAAAUAAUGAACUGAUACAGAGUAAAGUGAACAGAACAUUAUAACAUUUUAUCCAAAAUGCAUAUUGAAACUUAAAAAAAAACAAACAACAUGGUCACUGUGGGAAUUUCCAUUGCUUGACUAAGUGUGUUUAUUACAAAGAUUUCAGUUUUCUUUCUUUUUUAAGGGGGGUAGGUAGGGAAUGAAGGGAAAGAAGGCCAAUUUUUGUUUAUUAAAAAAUAGCUCAUUUAUAUAGCAUUUUAAGGUUUACUAAGCCCUUUACAAAUAUUAUUUAAUUUUAUUUUCACAAUAAUCUUGGGUGUGAAAGAUGCUAUUCUUAUCCCAGUCUUAGAGCUGAAAAAAUAGGCUUAAAAAGUCUAAAUGGUUUGUCCUGUUGCCCAGUGGGGCAGGUCAAAAACAGUAUUGAAACCCCCAAUUACCAGGACACCAGUAUUGUCUACCAGCUCUGAACUUAUCUAGCACUUCAAGAUUGUACCAGCCAUUGGGAAGUUAUCACCUACCCCCUGCUUGGUAGUAGGUAUCUUUUCAUAACAAGCAGAUAACAGGAAAAUUAUUUUGGCAACUUUGAGAAGGAUGGAUAUAGGGAGGCCAAUUAAGAGACUAUUGCAAUGGUACAGGCAAAUAGCAAUGAGUGCAUGAACCACUGUAGCAAAUGUGGAGAGGAGGUGGAGAAUUAGCUGAGAUUUGCCAGCUAAUUAGCUGGACAGUAAGGUAGUGAAAAAGACUGAAAAGUCAAGAAUAAUUCAGAGGUUGCAAAUCUUAGUAACUGAAUGUUUGGUGGUGCCCUCAAUAUUCUUAAGGAGAAGGAAUAAGUUGGUGGGGAAAAGAGAGGUAAAGCAUGAUAAGGGAGUAUAAUAAAUUCUGGUUUGGCUAUGUUGAGCUUGAAAUACGAUGGAAUGAAGGUGCUUAAAGGGGAACUGAGUACACAGAAGAAAUUUUCAGUAAACUCCCUCAAAUUCUUUUCCAUAAAGCCUUCCACUCAAACCCAGAAUGAUGAUCGCUUACUGUUCUGAGCUCUGAUAACACUGAAAGUCAGUAUUAUUCUCAUAACAUGUCUUUUGCUACCUGGUAUUAUAACUUUUUUCAUAACUAGCAGAUAAUAAAAAACACUGAAUUUAGAGUCAUAAUAAGGUUGUGGUUUGAACCAUGACACUACCAUUUGCAUAACCUUGAAACUCAGUUUCUUCAUCUGUAAAAUGGGGGUAUAAUAUUUGCAUUAUAGAAUCAUGUAGAAAGGCUUUUGUAAAUGUUAACACAAUGUAAAUAUGAGUUAUUAUUUUCAUGCAUAUAUAUAUAUAUCUUGUAUCCUCAACCAUAUUGCAAACUUCUUCAGGGGAGAAAAUACAAUCUCUUGAAUUUGCUACAAUAUUAAGCCAGGCAUGUAAUAGACAUUGAAUAACUAUUUGUUGGAUGAAGGAAUGAAGGAAUGACCCCUGCCAAGCCACUGAACCAAAUUCAAGGAACCUGAAAGUUAAAGGUGCUAUCACAGAUCCUACUUUCUCUGGUGUAUAACUGUGUUUUUGCCCCUUCUCUUUAUAUAUUUCUGUGCCAUAUUUUUUCCCACAACUAAAAAUGUUUAAUAAGCAACUGUUAUAUGCAAAGUACCUUGUUAUAUGCUGUGGAUAUAAAGACAAAAAUAAAAUAACCCACAAAGAGUCUAUAUUCUUUGUCAGGGAGUGAAGUGGAUAUAAUACAUUCAUAUGUAAAUAAAUGUAAUAGAGUUUAGUAUCUUAAGAAUAUUCACCAGGAUGGAGAAGAUAUAGAUAAUUAGAUAAUAGUCCCACUUCACUGAGAUUAAGAUCAUCUGUUGGGAGAUCAUUUAUCUUCUACCUUCCACUUCUUAAACUUUUCACAAUUUAUUUUUCAUUUAUAUCUUUGUGCAUUACAAUAAUUUAUAUAUGUAUCACACUUCCUAUUGGACUGUAAAUUUCAUAAAGGCAGAGGCUGUGUCUUCUCUAAUCUUUGUAUUUCAUUUAGUGCCUAGCACAAUAUUCUUUGCAUACAGAAGGUUCUUAAUAAAUGUUUGCUGAGGGGCAGCUUGGUGGCAGAGUAGAUAAAGAACCUAGGUCUUAAGAGGGGAGGUCCUAGGUUCAAAUCUGAAUUCAAACACUUCUAGCUGUGUGAUCCUGAGCAAGUCACUUAACACUGUUUGCUUAGCUCUUGCCCUUUUGUCUUAGAGACAGGACUAAGACAGAAAUAAAGGUUUAAAAAAUAAAUAAAAUAAAUGUUUGUUGAAUUGUUGAAUAAACAUAGAAACUAAUCAUCAGUGGAUAAAGUUCAUCACUUAAUUAUA